rnacentral:rRNA from 1 species
UACGAAGGGGGCUAGCGUUGUUCGGAAUCACUGGGCGUAAAGCGCACGUAGGCGGAUUUGUAAGUCAGGGGUGAAAUCCCGGGGCUCAACCUCGGAACUGCCUUUGAUACUGCAAAUCUCGAGUCCGGAAGAGGUGAGUGGAAUUCCUAGUGUAGAGGUGAAAUUCGUAGAUAUUAGGAAGAACACCAGUGGCGAAGGCGGCUCACUGGUCCGGUACUGACGCUGAGGUGCGAAAGCGUGGGGAGCAAACAGG